rnacentral:lncRNA from 1 species
GACACUUUGGGAAGGCUGCACCUUGCAGUGGGAAGAACUCGAGACUUUCUGGCAACUUAACUAGGUUACUUUUUCUGGGAAGAUGUUUUCACCAAACUCACAGAAGUUUCCAUUUUAAUCAGGAACAGUAAAAGCUUUGUAACAAAGGAAGAAGGCCUCCUCUAUUUAAGAGAUUUCUUGCCCCAACCUGGACAUUCUGAUGGGAUCUGCCUCAGGAACCUGAUCUUUAUAACUUCUGAGAUAUGCCCCUCUCCCCCAUUUCUCCAAUUCAGCUCCAAAUUCCCCUCUUCAACCUACUCCUCCAC